rnacentral:rRNA from 2 species
GCAUAUCAAUAAGCGGAGGAAAAGAAACCAACAGGGAUUGCCCUAGUAACGGCGAGUGAAGCGGCAACAGCUCAAAUUUGAAAUCUGGCUUCGGCCCGAGUUGUAAUUUGCAGAGGAAGCUUUAGGCGCGGCACCUUCUGAGUCCCCUGGAACGGGGCGCCAUAGAGGGUGAGAGCCCCGUAUAGUUGGAUGCCUAGCCUGUGUAAAGCUCCUUCGACGAGUCGAGUAGUUUGGGAAUGCUGCUCAAAAUGGGAGGUAAAUUUCUUCUAAAGCUAAAUACCGGCCAGAGACCGAUAGCGCACAAGUAGAGUGAUCGAAAGAUGAAAAGCACUUUGAAAAGAGGGUUAAAUAGCACGUGAAAUUGUUGAAAGGGAAGCGCUUGUGACCAGACUUGCGCCGGGCUGAUCAUCCGGUGUUCUCACCGGUGCACUCUGCCCGGCUCAGGCCAGCAUCGGUUCUCGCGGGGGGAUAAAGGCCCAGGGAAUGUAGCUCCUCCGGGAGUGUUAUAGCCCGGGGCGGAAUGCCCUCGCGGGGACCGAGGUUCGCGCUCUGCAAGGAUGCUGCGCGUAAUGGUCAUCAGCGACCCGUCUUGAAACACGGACC